CUUCCCAGGUCCACUACCAUGGCGAAUCACCUUACCCAGGAGGGCACUAUCCAACUUAACAAGUGCAGAAAUCCUGAUGAAUGGUUUUGCCUGCCAGGAAACUCCAGGAGGAAGUCAGUGUGGAUGGUUCUCAAAACCUUGGAGGGACUCCUUGAAUUUGUUACAUGUCCUGAUAAACUAUUGAAUCAGAGUCCCAGAGUAUCUUCACAGAGACAGCGGGCCAAUGACGGUAACUGUAGCUUUAUGCUGGGACUUACAUGCCGAGGCUUGAGGAUCCCUCCUGGAAACUCUCUGCCCAGAGUUUGGGCUGGGACCGCCAGGACCACACCGGAGAGGCUCUACAGGAAAACCCCAGCCGUGAGGUGGGGACUUUGCAUCCACCGAGGUCCAGAGGUCAGGGCAUUCUGUGGGCCACCUCACCUGGGGGACAAGGGGCUCAGUUUCUCAGCUUCCUUUAGAAGCCCUAAAUCCCUGCCCCUGGGACCCCGAAUCCCUGGAGUCAUGGCCCCUUCGGUCACUGCUUGAUCAGAGUGCUUUGCCCUGUGUUCAUCAGAAAGAUGUUAGGAAGGGGCUACCAUCUAGUGGGAGACCCUGGCUGUGCUGUGAACCCCCACAGGGCCUUCAGGGUUUCCAGCCCACAGUCCACAGAGAAGGGACUCUCUGUUCUAUAACCACAAGGAGCUGAAUUCGGCAACAACCCGAGAACUAGACCUCAGGGAGCCCUGAGCCCUGGUCAGCACCUUGAUCUUAGCUCCAUGGGCCCUGAGCUGAGUGCCCAGCACCUCAGGCUGGCCUUCUGACCAUGGAGAUUAAGACAAUGACCAGUGUUGUUUUGUGGUAGUUUGUUGGGGUGCAGCUGGUUUCCAUGUCCUUCACCUACUCGAUCUCUGUGUCUGUGCACCGGACACAGAUUCCAUGCCUCCAGGGUUGGGCAGGCCUGAGGUGGUCCCUGGGGAGGGAGGCAGAUGGCCACACCCUGGGCUGCUGGCCUUUGCAUGGUCACUGCAGUCUGCUAGAGAGGUUCCACCCAGAGACCUCCCGUGGCCUGCCUCCUCUGAGGACCUCAGGUCCUACAGCCCCAGCUCCCUGGCACUCAGGAAUCAUGAACCCUGGCUCUUGCUGGGCAGUAGACUGGGCCUGUUCUGCACCCUCCUAAGAGAGCAGACUGGGAGUCACACUCCAGGCUCAGCCCCUCACCACUCUGGCUCCUCCAAGGUCCCAGGUCCUCUGUCCUCUUGCACCCCUCUCUCCUGCUUCCCUCCCAGGAUGACACCCCAGCUCCUCUGCCGUAACCACACCCAGAUUUCGGGAGGAAGGUUGUCAGUGGACCAGUGGAGGCACAGAGGAUGUCGGAUGCCAAACACUAGACGUUUCCUUCCGUCCACCACGGACCCUCCACCUCCAUGCGGGCUUCUGGCUGUGCCCUCCCUGCGCUCUCUUUAAUUAGCCGGACCUUGGGGUGCUCCUGGACUGCACCCUGGGGUUCAGAGCCCCGGCCAGAGGGCUCAUUUCUCAAGGCCAGGAAAUGACAGGCUGUGGACAGGCAAUGGGGCUCGGGCCAGAGCCUGGGGACUGCACGCGGACUCUGCCCCUCAGGAGGCAGAAGCUGGGCCACAGCCCUGGGCCAGGGCCUUCCUACUGGAGCAGGCUCUCCCCAGGAACCAGGGGCCCCAGAAGCAGUAUUGCCUCUUUGUGCCCUUACAGAAACCUGGCUGAGGGGAGAGGCGCCCACCAUCAUUUAUAGAAGAGAAUUUGCUGAAGCCACAUGCAGUGUCACACACUCCGCCAGACGCUGGGACAAAGCUUGAGCGGAACACAAGGAUCAGGGUCAGGAGGCCAGUGGAAGAUGCUGGCCCUCCUCUGAGAAUUGGGGGUCACAGUGCCCUGCCUUUGGGGAGGGGAAACAAGUGGCAGCUCAGACACAGCCCUGGCCCCUACUGGAGCCCAGCUCAGAAUGAGCAACUGAGCCAAAUAGGGUGGGAGCCAUCCAAAGUGUGGGCAGUGGAUUAAGGAGAGGGGCCAAGGGGCUUCCUGGAAGAGGGCACCCACCUCUCCUGAGGGUACCUUCCUGUGGCAAGCAGGCAGGCCCCCCCAGCCUUCUCCCUAGUCUGGGGGUCCCGCGACUCAGCCGCCUGGGACACUUGUCAGUCCGGGUGGUUGAGAGGAGAUGGCCUUGGCGCCAGGCCAGGACACUUCGGGAGGUUGACAUCAGCACAGACUCACACUGCUGGCCCCUGUCGGGCAGACCCAAGAAUAGCCUUUUCACGGAGUUGAGCCAUCUACGCAGCCAGGUGGGGCUGGGGAGCUUUGGGGGCUGUGCUGUGCUGGUGCCCAGCCUUCUGUCCCCUCACCCCCUGCAGCUCCUCCUAGGAGAGAAGGGGGUCCCACCCACUCUGCACCCACCAUGAGGCUCCAGGUGACGAGGGCAAUGCCUGAGGACAGACAGUGGUAACUGGACCCUCUCAGACCCGCAGGGACCCUCCUCGCCUUCUCACUGGGCUCCCUCCACGGCCUGACUGAGCUUGCUCCACUCCCAGGUGAGACCCAGCUAGCCCCAGGAUGGGCCCACUGGCAUGGAGCAGGCGCCAGGCCAACCGUGAAGCCCAGGAUGGGGGCCGGCAGAGUGACCAGCCCCCCCGACACGCCUCCUGCCCACCUUCCCCAGCCCCGGCCCAGACCCCCUCAGGCAAAGACGGGACAGCUGGGAGAGUGGGGGUCCGUGAUGAGACACAGGGGUCACCAAAGUGCCAGCCACUCCCCCUAGGAGGCCCCUGCCCCUACCUAGCCAGCAACUACUUCCGGUGAUUUCUGGUUAAGAACUUGUGGUUCUGACUUAAGAGAUGACUCUUCCCCCCUCACCCCCGGGGCAGGUGGCUCAUUGGCACCUCCACACUGAGUACAAGACUCAGCUAGGGGCAGUGCGCCCUCAGCCCCAACUCCAGCUCCGUCUCCUCCUCAUCAGGCUUUUUAAUUAGCAUACCAGGAAAUAUGUCAGAGUUUGUAACCCUUAAAAAACAUGGUGCUGAGCAGGUGUGGUGCACAGCUGUAAUCCCACCAUCUGAUGGGCUGAGGCAGGCAGAUGAAAGCCAACCUGUGCUACAGAGUGAGAUCCUGUCUCAGAAAAAAGAGUCCCCUGUGCCCUGAUGACCAAACUGAGUGACUGGGCUCAGUGGGUACUGCAGGCUUGGCAAGGUACCUCAACUCUCUGCCAAGUGAUGCCGAUUGAAGGCUGAAGCCACUGGCCCUGAAGCUCAGAUAGUGGUGGCCCUGGAAGGGCAGAAGUUGCUGUGGAUGGUGACCACCCUCCCCACUCGGACAGCCGCUGGGAAAUGGGACCGCGGUGCCGGGGGAAGCAUCCUGCCUGUAGCAGCUCAGGUCCAGCUCGCCACCCAGGGACCCUUCAGCUUAGGGGUGGGGAGUGGCUUCCUGGGGAGGGGUCCCCUUUUCUACUAGGAGCAUCCCUGAGGCAAGAGGGCACCCUUGCAGAGCUACCUACAGCCUGUGAGCAGGAGGCCUGGCUGGCACCUGAGGGGCUGGGCCACCGCAGCGCCCUCUGACCCCAGCCUCCGGCCCAGAGCAAUGAUACCCACUCCCAUGGGGCAGUUGGAGGGUCAAGCCAGGAAGCAGGUGCAGGAUGUGUGCUCUGACUGUAGAAGAUUCACCCCAAGUCUCCAAGCCCUGCUUCCCGGAAGUGGGCAGGGUGUCGCCUGGUUGUUCUGACUUGGAGUUUCCCCUGGAGAACAGCAAGAACCCCUCCUCUGGGAGGGUGCCACGCCAGCCCUCAUCCCUCAGCCAGGUGGUAUUUGUCAGAGGGGGUGUGGCUGGGCCUCGAGGUCACAGGAAAAGAAGGUGAGCCAGGCACGGGAGCAUUCUCUCCUGCCCUUAGCUCCAUUUUGCAUCUCCUGGCAAGUGAGCCGAGGGUGUCAGGAGGGGAGCCAGCUCCAGGCAGGAGCUGCUGGGGCUCUGCCCACCAUCCCCGCAGGCCCUCACUGCAGGUGAGCGGACAGAGCUGCUCUUCCCCCUCCCCAAACCCCAGCUGUUGCCCCUCAAAAAAGACUGAGAGUCCCAGCGUCACCAAGGCAUCAGCCUCCCAGCCCUGGAGGCAUCAGGGCCAGUGGGCAACACCACUCCACCGUUCUGGUGAGGACAGAAAGCCACAGGACACCACCCCUGCCCUGAAGGGGGCCCCCACAGGGCUCCCGGGACUCAGGGCUGUUCCCUGCCCUUCUCUGUCCCCUCCCAGACGCAGGUGAAGCUCGCUCUCCAGGCUCAGCUCCCUCCUGAGCAUCUGCAAGCCCACACUGACCAUUCAGACUUCAUUGAUUGGCUGAAAGGUGAAACCUGAAAUAGCCCCCAUUGCUGGUAAACAGGAAUUUUAAUCAUUUGGGCAGCGAAUGCUAAUCUCUGGUAUCGCUGUCUCUCAGGAAGUGUGUGGGGGUGAUCCUUCCACACCGCAAGGACAGUGCCAGAAUGGCAAGCCGUGGUGGGCAGGGGGACAUGGUGUCGCCCAACCCUCUGUGCUGGCAAGCAGGAGCCUGUGGGGACUUCCUCCGGGGAGUCUGGGUCCCUUGGCCAGGGUGCCCAGGGUUUGCUCCUGGCCCUGCUACUUUCUCCCUGUGGCUCCAUGAGCAAGUUGCUUGGCCCACUGUGCCUCAGUGUCCUCAUAUGAAAAGCCACAUAACAGCCACAGGUGACCAUGCGCCUGGUCGGAGGACUCUUCCCGGAGUGCAGCGUGGGGCUGCGUCUACAGGGGGCGCCAUGCCUGAAAGUGGACAACACCCUGCACCAGAGCCUUCGAAGAGAUUCUGCUUCUCGAGGUGUUCAGUAGCAAACAGCACAGCCUUCCCUGGGCCAGCUCCACCCUGAGCACUGUCCGCUUGGAGCCUGGAGCAUCGGGUCACCUUUCCAGUCCCGCUCUGUGCUGCAUGAGUCCUCAGAGAUAGGAGGCACCUGCUGCCACGGAGCACACUCAUCCACACGUCCCGGCUGCCCACCUGCUGAAGGGGGACCCAGGCUCAGGCUCGCCUCUCCUCCCUGAGGUCUCAGCCGGCCCAGCUACAGCAGGGGAGGAGUGGCCGAGGCCGGGCAGCACAUGACCCUGGCAGCCAGCCCAGGGUGAGAACCUGCUUGUGUUUUUAGGGUGCGGGGCCCCGGGCCUUAGAAGGAGACCAGGAAGCAGAGCCCAUGGGAGGCCCCUGUAGUCUGAGCAGGGGUGGUAUGGAGCAGGCUGGGGUGUGGCGAGGCUGGCACACUGGGAAAGCCUUCACUGCACUCCUGGCCCUGUCCUCGGCCAUGUGCCACCACAGCCACUGAGCCUGGGCAGGAGUUCGAACUCCCCAGGUGAUUCACAGAGGUGCCAGGACUGGAAAUGAGCUCCCGGAAAAGCCCGAG
rnacentral:lncRNA from 1 species